CCCCAGGGGUUACUGGUGGGAAUCAUCAACAGGACUGUUUGGUCGGUGUCAGCCCCAGCGAUGGAGCAGGAAGAGGGAGGCAGGUGGCUCAGGAGCCUGGAGUCCUCCCGUCUUUGAGAAGCGAGAGUCGGUGCCACAGGUGCUAUGACAGACGCUGCAGGCCCUUUGUUCUCCUCACCUUUCUCCUGGGAUGUUGGGCUGCGUCAGUCCCUCAAGCAAUGCUGAGCUGUCCCAGUUUCUUUAUCAGGGGACUGAUAGAAGAAGGGCAGUUUGUCUCCAAGCACCAGGAGGGAUUGCUCUGCCUCUUCGGUGCUGCACCAACUGCUGAGGACAGGCUCUGCUAUUUGUCUAGGGGGGCAAUUUCUCCCAGACCUUUCCUAUAUCCCAAUCAUGCAUUGUGUCUGGAUGUGUAAUGGAGGUACAAUAACUUCUCACUUCUCUCCUGGCCUCUGUGCCCGCCUGUCUCAUCAAGCACCAAAAGCUAUUGCAUAUUUAUAUGUGAAGCAGUGUGCUGGCUGCACCGGCAGUUUUCUGAUGAGUGGUAGUAAACUUUGGCUAAAAAUAAUACUAACUUAGCCUCUUUGGCCUUCAGUUUAACCACUCAAAUGUUCCAUUUUAGGGAGGUGACAACUGCUUUGAUCUGCAUCACUGAAGGUGGAUAGAAAGUUUGAAGCCUGCUGGAAGGCAGCUGUUUUUCCACUGUGGCCUUCUGGGAAGAUCUUGUGGGCCCGCAGGAAAGCACACACAGAAUGAAACUGCUCUCCAACGGCAGCCUUGAGGAGCAAACUCUACAAACAAGAAAAAACAAACAAAGUCAAAAUCAAGCGUUUUCCUCCUUUGUCAUUUGUUCGGCUCGUACCUGGGGGGACUUUUUCUUCCCCAUCACUUCUAAUGCAGGAGGUACAACACAAUGCUUUAUGGAAGGACAACAAAUUCAAAAAGGAAAAUGAAAAGAAAAUUAACCAGCUCCAUCCCAGUCACCAAUUGUAAUACCAAAAAUGACUGUCAGAGUUUCAAACCAAACCUGGUUCAAAAUGAACUUUCUGUUCUUCUCACACUCACUCAAUACAAAAAAUCUUAAGUUUCAUGGCAUCAAGGUGACUUUGACUUAGAAAGUGAACCAGCCCCCUUGCACAGCAACAGUUCAUCGUAUUUGGUUUAUUCCCACAACUGUGAUUUCACCUAGAGGAAUGCUGACUGGUCCUACUGCUUACCAACUCCACAGUUACCACCAUAGUGAAUGCUGGACCAAAAAGUUCCUCUCCAUCACUUAAAUUUACAGCCCCACCAAACAUUAGCAGUAAGGAGCCUGCUGCUUCCAGCUGUACAGGGGAAUGGACCUCAGACACUCGUAUUGCAGCGCUACCAUCCCCUUAAAUACUGUGUAGUGACACGAAGAAAGGUUUCCUGAGUGCUGGUGUUUGCAGAUCUCUAAAGGUGAGGAAGAAGCAAAAGAAAAAAAAAAAAAAAAAGCAAUCAAGAAAACUGUAUUUUGUACCUGUGGCAUUUGAAAAGUGCUUAAAACAGGACUUUUCUUCCCCGCUUACUGGCUCCAUUCCUUAAAAGAAAUUGAUUUUGGCUGCAGAAUCUGAAUUUACCUGCCUUUUCCUCCUUGGAAAUUCUUUACUACCAGAUGUUGUCCAAAAGUUGCAAUUUGUGAUACUUUGCGAUUUUGUAAUAGCAUGACCUUCCUGGUCCCCACCUGUUCUUCCUCCUCUCUCUACGUGUCACUCACUGGUCACCCGUACAGCACAGCACAUGUUUCUGCAGCCUGUGUCCACCCACCAUCCUCAGUGCAACCAUUAAUAGAGUGCACCCUUCAUUCACCCUGUUUUCUAUGAGGUCUGAAGUUCAGUAUGCAAAGGCAUCUUCAAAAUGAGAUGUUGCCAGGCUUAUUCAGAGGGCACUAAUGACAGAGAAACAAUUACAAGUAAAAAUAAAUAAAUAAAUAGAUUCAGCUGCUCAUUUGGUGAAGAAGGAAUACACACUUCUCUUCUUUCCAACAUUUUGCUUUAGGUCCAGAGGGAAAGGCCUGCUGUGUUCAAUGGAAAUACUGCUGUUUAUGUGUUUAUGAGAAUCAGAAGUGCCACAAAAGCCAGUGACCUGUGAUGUCUUUUAAGCAAGGUGAUAUAUGAUAUUUUUAAAAGGAAGGAAACUUGAAUCUUCAAAGAUCAGAGGUUAUCAAAACAAAAUAUAUUAUCUGUCAGUGUUAUUGUUAAUAGCAAUAAAUAAUGGUAACGCUUUGACAAAUUCAGUUGUCAGCUGAUGAUCAGCAAUAACCGAUCACUUUUCUGCUAACUUGGUCUUGCUGCCUCUGGGAUGAGCCUACAGGUUAGUUCGCACA